rnacentral:rRNA from 4 species
UCAGGUAGGGAUACCCGCUGAACUUAAGCAUAUCAAUAAGCGGAGGAA